CUCUGUUGUAUUUUGCAUUUUUCAGGAACUUUCAGGUGAUGAAGCAGACUUUGACCAAGCUCUUUUCAAGUUUUAUGUGAACCAAGCUCAUUAUUUCUCUUUUUUGCUUGUUGUUCUUGAGGAUGCUACUGUAGCCACUAAAAAUCCAACCAAUUUUGAGUAGAAAUUCAUAUAUGCCUGGGCUUCUUCUUUUGUUUUGAACUACAUGCCUAACUGUGGCUUAAAAUUGCUGCUGGUGUUCAUAAGAUUGCCUUCUGAUGCAGUCUCUUGUUCAUUUUGCAGGAACCUCUCAAUGUCUUCUUCAUCGAGGUAUUCAUUGUCUGCGUCUUGUUCAUGUGAGUCCUCCGUUUCUCCCCUUUGUCCUUCUUGAUUUAUCUGGUUUGUGUUUGACUUUGAUUUAUUUGUUGUGGAACUAGGGUCAGUAUCUUCAGGGACCUGCAAAAUUAUUCUUUUUGUGUCCGUUUUAAUUUUCAAACAGGUUUGUACAAAUACGUUCAUAUUCUAUUUGUGACUUUGAUUUAUCUAUUUAUGUGGCUACCUGUUCCAAACUGAUGUUGUCAAACAUGUGUGCCUCCCAGGGAUUAGGUUCUGUUGUGCCUUCUUCGCUUGCUGUAGCUUCAUGAUGCAUUUCCUGCAAUGUCUGCAGUGUAAGUGAGAUGUUACUUUCUCUCUUUUUUCUCAGUUCAGAUAUGAGUUAUUCAGUACUAGUUUUCCUCUCCAUCUUGUGUAAUGUUUGCAGCACCAUCUCCCGAAUGUACCCGUGAGCGUCAUGAUUUCUUUUAAUUUAAAACUUCUCCUUCUCACAGAUUUGUAGCUAUGCAGUAUUUGAAUUUCCAUUUUACCUUGUAGAUAAUGUCUGAAUUGAGGAGCGCUGUGAAUGAAAAUGAUUCCCGCAAAAAAAAAUUUGUUAGCAUGAAUGUAUUGUAUAUAGCAUUUUCCUCUAUUGAUUUUUGCAAUCAAUUUGCUAGUAUUUAUACAUGUCUCACAUUUAGAAUGAGUUCUUCUUGUGACAUUGACAGUAGAUCCUCUCCAGUCACUCUUCCUAUCAUGCUCCCCAUCUGCAAUAUUGAAGAUUAAAUGUGAGAGAAUUUUAAUUUUGUAAGCGGCAAACUGUUAUCAGUGAUAGCUCUUUUCUCUGCAUGUAUUUCCUAAGCAGAAAACUGUCAAUAUUAACUUUUUAAGCUCCAAACUACAAAUCAUUUUUUAAGGAGCAAAGUGUGAGUUCCUGGUUUUGGACACUGUAAAUCCUGGGUGGCAUGAGGUGUUUUUACAGUGUAAAUCGGUAGUUUGAAUGGUAAAUGUUGGGUGCUUACUAUGUUUAUACAAUGUAAAUUCCAAGGUCUUUGGACUGUAUUUGUAAUGUAUUAAGAAUGUAAAUUCCAGUGCCAUUAUACUGAAUUUACAGUGUAGAUAUAUGCAUUUUUACAGUGUAAAUUCCAGGGUUUUAGUACUGAAUUUACAGUGCUAAAACUUGGGUAUUUACCUUUACCGUGUAAUUAUAGGGCCAUUAUACUGAAUUUACAGUGUAAAUACUUGUGUAUUUACAGUGUAAUUACAGGGCCAUUGUACUGAAUUUACAGUGUAAAUACUUGGGUAUUUACAGUGUAGUUACAGUACAAAGGCCCUGAAUAUCUUGGGUAUUUACACUGUAAAUUCAUGCAUUUGUACACUGUAUGUUGUAGGGUUUUGCAUUAUAUUUACAGUGUAAUUUCCAGGGCCAUUGUAUUGAAUUUACAGUGUAGUUACAGGGUCAUUGUACUGAAUUUCAUGUAGGCUUCUUCAUCACACUGUAUUAUUCCCUUGAUUUACUGUGUAAUUCCCAUGCUUAGUAACUAUUUUUUUGGAUAUAUUAAUGUGUAAUAUUCCCAUAUUUACGUUUUGUAGUUCCCUUGCUUCAAAUUUGUAAUUAUGGUUGUACUGUAAUUCCCAUGCCCAGUCAUUGUAUUCUUUAGUUAUAGUGAAGUGUAAUUUUCCUCAGGUUUCUUGUGUAACUCCCAUGAUUUUCAUGUAUGCUUCUUCAUCACUCUGUAAUAUUUCUCUGAUUUACUCUGUAAUUCCAAUGCUUAGUCACUGUAUUUUUUGGAUAUAUUAUGGUGUAAUGUACCCAUAUUGUAAUUCCAAUGCCUCAUUUUUGUAGUAAAGCUCAUAUUGUAAUUCCCAUGCAUCGUCUCUGUAAUUUUCAGCUAUAUUACAGUGUAAUAUGGCCUAGUAUUACAGUGUAAUUUUGGGGUAUUGUACUCUGUAUUUGCCAUGCUUCUCCUAUGUAAUUCCUGUACAACAUUAGUGCGUCUUAUUUGCAACCAUAUAGGUCCUGAUAAGUUUUCUUAUUCUUUGUUGUUAAUGUAGUAUUUGAUUUAGGAUUUAUGUAGCAUUGUUUAAGAGUGUUUUGGUUUUGUAGUUUGAGGAGGGUCCUGGCAACCAGUUUUUUCAUGUUUAAUGGGUAGGCUAUGGAAAGUCUAUCAUUAGGGCGUUCCGUUAGCAUAUUCUUUUGAGAGUGCAGAUUGUUUUGCUGACGAACCAUUUGCGCCUGUCAACGGUAGCUAUUUCUUUCUUUUUCUCUACUUUUUUUCAAUUAUUAUUUCUUGAAGUCUGUUUAUUUAUUUUGUGUCUAUUGUAUUUUGCAUUUUUCAGGAACUUUCAGGUGAUGAAGCAGACUUUGACCAAGCUCUUUUCAAGUUUUAUGUGAACCAAGCUCAUUAUUUCUCUUUUUUGCUUGUUGUUCUUGAGGAUGCUACUGUAGCCACUAAAAAUCCAACCAAUUUUGAGUAGAAAUUCAUAUAUGCCUGGGCUUCUUCUUUUGUUUUGAACUACAUGCCUAACUGUGGCUUAAAAUUGCUGCUGGUGUUCAUAAGAUUGCCUUCUGAUGCAGUCUCUUGUUCAUUUUGCAGGAACCUCUCAAUGUCUUCUUCAUCGAGGUAUUCAUUGUCUGCGUCUUGUUCAUGUGAGUCCUCUGUUUCUCCCCUUUGUCCUUCUUGAUUUAUCUGGUUUGUGUUUGACUUUGAUUUAUUUGUUGUGGAACUAGGGUCGGUAUCUUCAGGGACCUGCAAAAUUAUUCUUUUUGUGUCCGUUUUAAUUUUCAAACAGGUUUGUACAAAUACGUUCAUAUUCUAUUUGUGACUUUGAUUUAUCUAUUUAUGUGGCUACCUGUUCCAAACUGAUGUUGUCAAACAUGUGUGCCUCCCAGGGAUUAGGUUCUGUUGUGCCUUCUUCGCUUGCUGUAGCUUCAUGAUGCAUUUCCUGCAAUGUCUGCAGUGUAAGUGAGAUGUUACUUUCUCUCUUUUUUCUCAGUUCAGAUAUGAGUUAUUCAGUACUAGUUUUCCUCUCCAUCUUGUGUAAUGUUUGCAGCACCAUCUCCCGAAUGUACCUGUGAGCAUCAUGAUUUCUUUUAAUUUAAAACUUCUCCUUCUCACAGAUUUGUAGCUAUGCAGUAUUUGAAUUUCCAUUUUACCUUGUAGAUAAUGUCUGAAUUGAGGAGCGCUGUGAAUGAAAAUGAUUCCCGCAAAACAUUUUUUGUUAGCAUGAAUGUAUUGUAUAUAGCAUUUUCCUCUAUUGGUUUUUGCAAUCAGUUUGCUAGUAUUUAUACAUGUCUCACAUUUAGAAUGAGUUCUUCUUGUGACAUUGACAGUAGAUCCUCUCCAGUCACUCUUCCUAUCAUGCUCCCCAUCUGCAAUAUUGAAGAUUAAAUGUGAGAGAAUUUUAAUUUUGUAAGCGGCAAACUGUUAUCAGUGAUAGCUCUUUUCUCUGCAUGUAUUUCCUAAGCAGAAAACUGUCAAUAUUAACUUUUUAAGCUCCAAACUACAAAUCAUUUUUUAAGGAGCAAAGUGUGAGUUCCUGGUUUUGGACACUGUAAAUCCUGGGUGGCAUGAGGUGUUUUUACAGUGUAAAUCGGUAGUUUGAAUGGUAAAUGUUGGGUGCUUACUAUGUUUAUACAAUGUAAAUUCCAAGGUCUUUGGACUGUAUUUGUAAUGUUUUUG
rnacentral:lncRNA from 1 species